rnacentral:rRNA from 1 species
GACGAACGCUGGCGGCGUGCUUAACACAUGCAAGUCGAACGGAAAGGCCCUGCUUUUGUGGGGUGCUCGAGUGGCGAACGGGUGAGUAACACGUGAGUAACCUGCCCUUGACUUUGGGAUAACUUCAGGAAACUGGGGCUAAUACCGGAUAGGAGCUCCUGCUGCAUGGUGGGGGUUGGAAAGUUUCGGCGGUUGGGGAUGGACUCGCGGCUUAUCCGCUUGUUGGUGGGGUAGUGGCUUACCAAGGCUUUGACGGGUAGCCGGCCUGAGAGGGUGACCGGCCACAUUGGGACUGAGAGACGGCCCAGACUCCUACGGGAGGCAGCAGGGGGGAAUAUUGCACAAUGGGCGGAAGCCUGAUGCAGCAACGCCGCGUGCGGGAUGACGGCCUUCGGGUUGUAAACCGCUGUCGCCUGUGACGAAGCGUGAGUGACGGUAAUGGGUAAAGAAGCACCGGCUAACUACGUG